rnacentral:rRNA from 1 species
AGUGAACGCUGGCGGUAGGCCUAACACAUGCAAGUCGAACGGCAGCACAGUAAGAGCUUGCUCUUACGGGUGGCGAGUGGCGGACGGGUGAGGAAUACAUCGGAAUCUACUUUUUCGUGGGGGAUACGUAGGGAAACUUACGCUAAUACCGCAUACGACCUACGGGUGAAAGUAGGGGAUCUUCGGACCUUGCGCGAUUGAAUGAGCCGAUGUCGGAUUAGCUAGUUGGCGGGGUAAAGGCCCACCAAGGCGACGAUCCGUAGCUGGUCUGAGAGGAUGAUCAGCCACACUGGAACUGAGACACGGUCCAGACUCCUACGGGAGGCAGCAGUGGGGAAUAUUGGACAAUGGGCGCAAGCCUGAUCCAGCCAUACCGCGUGGGUGAAGAAGGCCUUCGGGUUGUAAAGCCCUUUUGUUGGGAAAGAAAAGCAGCAGGUUAAUACCCCGCUGUCCUGACGGUACCCAAAGAAUAAGCACCGGCUAACUUCGUG